GGGAAACUGGGGAGAGGUCUGUAUUGUCUCCCCUCUCUCACUAGUGAUAAUCAUGGGAGGGAAACUGGGGAGAGGUCUGUAUUGUCUCCCCUCUCUCACUAGUGAUAAUCAUGGGAGGGAAGCUGGGGAGAGGUCUGUAUUGUCUCCCCUCUCUCACUAGUGAUAAUCAUGGGAGGGAAGCUGGGGAGAGGUCUGUAUUGUCUCCCCUCUCUCACUAGUGAUAAUCAUGGGAGGGAAGCUGGGGAGAGGUCUGUAUUGUCUCCCCUCUCCCACUAGUGAUAAUCAUGGGAGGGGAGCUGGGGAGAGGUCUGUAUUGUCUCCCCUCUCCCACUAGUGAUAAGCAUGGGA